ensembl:lncRNA
CUGAGUUUUUAUUUGGUCCAGAGACAAAAAAAAGUUGCAAAAGAGAGGAUCCUCACUCAGUUGAAGGAUACACUGAGGAAACCACUCCACUCCACUCCAUGCAGAACCAAUCCAUUACAUAGUGAGGAGGAAGUUGAAUCCGAAACGGUGGACACAAACGUGGAUUUGUUCAAUUACCCAGGGAAUUCUCAAUCAACCAGACAAAAAAAGGUUGGAAAGGAGAGGGUCCUCACUCAGCUGAAGGAUACACUGAGGAAACCACUCCACUCUGAUCCACGCAGAACCAAUCCGUUACAUAGUGAGGAGGAAGUUCAAGCCGAAACCGUGGACACAAAUGUGGAUUUGUUCGAUUACCCAGAGAAUUUUCAACCAACCGAUACCUUAGAUGCUGCUGAGGCAAGUGGAGAGAGCGUGGAACAGCCAUUAUUUGUCAGUGGUGAAGUGUUGAAAGCUUUGAAAGGUACAGUAUAAAAUACCUGAAAUGAGUUGUGCUAAGGGAUGCUAUGUGGAUAAUUAUGUCUUAAAUAUACUAUAUAUACAAUAAUACAUUUGUGAUUGUAAUUUUCUAUUGACUUGAUUUGUAUUUAAAGCAGUAAAAAGUGGUUGUACUGUAUUUCAUUUCUUUAGAUAGAUUCUGAGCAUUAAGCAUUUACAAUCUUUGUAAUCAUUCUAAGCAGCCAUCUUUCUUCAUAACUUUUUUAAUAGAAAUCUUUUCGACACCUCUAGAAAUCUCAACUGUGGCGUUUGGCAUCUUGUUCCUACCCCACUUACGAUGUGUUUUUACACGUAUUACCUGUGCUGUGCAUCAGGAGUGGAGCGGUACAUAUAUUCCUAUUGAACCAAUUUGGUACAAGGGUCACGGUUUUGGUGCACGCAUUUACACAGAAAAUACACUGCAAAGCGGAACUAUUGUUAGAUACGCAUGUUCUUUGGGGACACAUAAUAUGUGACGCGCGUCCUAUUCGUUUGGACUAAUGUCAAACUAGACGAAAAUUUUAAGCAUUUCUUUGUUUGCGUUGAUUACAAUGCUGGAGUGUGUGUGUGCUCGCACGCGCGGUAGAGAGAGAAAGAUAUAGUGUGUUCACUGUAGCACAAGAGAGAUCGAGACAGAGAAGCAAUUUGUCCUCGAGUGUCACAAAUACAGUUCAGUAAGAGACCUUUACUUCAACUAAAUCACCAACGUUAUACUGUAUGCCACAGCCUGAGAGACAGCAGGUGAAUGUGUAUGUGUGUGUCUGAACUCAGUGCGUUUCCCUACUGUCCAUCACAGUGACUCACAGUGGUGUGUGUGUGUGUGUAUAUAUAUACAUAUAUAUAUAUGUGUGUGUGUGUUUGUGUGUGUGUGUGUGUGUGUUAAAACACGGUGGUUAAUUAAGGAAAACAAACAAAUUGAUCUGAAAUAUAGUAAAUUAUUUUAAAAUUCAUUCAGGUAAAAUUAUCAAACAACAAUGUCUUAAUUCAUUUAUUAAUAAACAAAUUAUACAAAACUAUUGUCA